UGCGAGUUGAAUGGGAUACCUAUAUUUCCCAUAGCGAACUGCUCAGUAACACAUGAUCAACUUACCCUAUAGAGAAACAUAACCUCGGGAAACUGAGGAUAAUAUUUCAUAGUUGAAUAGGCUUGGAAAAGUUUUUCAAUAAAAGAGAUAAAAAAAAUGGUUUUUAUCUGCUAUAGGAUAGGAUCGUGGACGAUUAUGGUUGUUGGUGAGGUAACGGCUCACCAAGCCGAUAAUCGAUAGGGGCCGUGAGAGCGGGAGCCCCGAGAUGGGUACUGAGACAACGACCCAGGCCUUACGAGGCGCAGCAGGCGCGGAACCUCCGCAAUACACGAAAGUGUGACGGGGUUACCCAAAGUGUUCAAUUUUGAACUGUGGUAGGUGAGUAAUGUUCCCUACUAAAAAGGGAGAGGGCAAGGCUGGUGCCAACCGCCGCGGUAAAACCAGCUCUUCAAGUGGUCGGGAUAAUUAUUGGGCUUAAAGUGUCCCGUAGCCGGUUUAGUAAGUUCCUGGUAAAAUCGGAUAGCUUAACUAUCUGUAUGCUAGGAAUACUGCUAUACUAACAGGGCGGGAGAGGUCUGAGGUACUACAGGGGUAGGGGUGAAAUCUUAUAAUCCUUGUAGGACCACCAAUGGCGAAGGCGUCAGACUGGAACGCGC
rnacentral:rRNA from 1 species